GGAGGUUCUUGGGUGACACACCCGGAACCAGAGAGGAGGGAGCCUGAUUCCAGGGUGCAUCACCCGAGAACCGCC
rfam:Myotis lucifugus cont2.7218, whole genome shotgun sequence.